UACGGAGGGUGCAAGCGUUAAUCGGAAUUACUGGGCGUAAAGCGUGCGCAGGCGGUUUGUUAAGUCCGUUGUGAAAGCCCCGAGCUCAACUUGGGAAUUGCAGUGGAUACUGGCAGGCUGGAGUACGGUAGAGGAAGGUGGAAUUUCCGGUGUAGCAGUGAAAUGCGUAGAUAUCGGGAGGAACACCAGUGGCGAAGGCGGCCUUCUGGACCAGUACUGACGCUCAUGCACGAAAGCGUGGGGAGCAAACAGG
rnacentral:rRNA from 1 species